GAAAUAACAAAUUGUUACUACCCUGUCAUCUUUGUUGAGCAAAAUGAGGACUGAUGCUACAGCUCUAACGCUUUACUUUUGAAGUGCUUAUCAUCAGCCCCAACAUCUUCAGUAGAGGAACGAAAUAGAGUAGACAGUUGCCUUUUGGACUAUGCUGUUAAGCACAAAUAUCUGCUUCAGCAAGGAUAAUAAGGAGCCCAGCCCCUGAACGGGGAUUUCUUGGCUCGCAUCUAUGCUAGCACAGGAUGCAGUGUAUAAACAAUGGGAAGUUGCAGUCCAUUAUGGUUUCCCUUCCCAAAGGUGGCGUUUUGCAUCGGAUCUCGGCGCCCCACGUUUAAAAUCCCACAAGUUUCCUGCACAGCAGCAUAAAUCCCAGAGCUCUGUGGAGAGGCAGAGAGCCUGGGUCUUCAUAGCACUUGCCUCCACAACCUCAAAAUGACCACAUUCCCCCCCGCCACUAUUGUUUGCUUUUCGCAUGCCAGCUCCCGGGAUACUGGAUCCUUCGCAUGCCUGCUUGCCUUCAAGUCUCUCGACGGCUGCCUCUCAGCCUCUGCAUAUUUACGCACCCGACGAAGCAGGCUCCCGACUUGGCUACCACAGCUCAUGCCGCUACGGAACCAGGGCUCAACUUGAGUGACGGCAGCAAGGAUACUACUGGCCCAAAAAUGGAAACAGGAGGAACUAUCAUCUAUUGAAGAGUGGAGAAUGAAAUUAACAGACUACGCAGAACUAGAUAAAUUAACAGGGAAAGUCCGAAACCAACAAGAUCACAAGUUCACUGAGGACUGGAGUAAAUUUGUGGAUUAUAUGAAAAGCAUAUGUGAUGAACAAAUAACGUUUGUGGGUUUACAGGAAGCUUUGUGAAGAAAUAUGUAUAGAAACAUUGUAAAAAAGGGAAGAGGGGGAGUAGGUGGAUAUUAAGAUAAAAGACAAUGACAAAUUUUGAACUUGCAGUAUAAAGACGAGAACACGGAAGAUUCACGGAUGAACUGAUGGAAGUCAAAAAUAUGUAUUUGUGAUUGUAUUGAAAAUGUAUGACUAAAAAUUCUUUUUUAUUGGAAAUUAAUAAAAAAUAAUUCAAAAAUAAAUAAAUAUUAAGAGUAGAAAACGCAUGUAAGAGAAUGUACAGUUGGGCAGAAGUUCUGCUAGUGGGAUGCCUACUGAUAGCCAACUUUGUAAAGCCUUAAAAUUGGGUAUUUUGAGGGCGGUGGGCAGGUAAAGGAGCAGAGCUUACCUCAUGCUCUCACUUGAUGGAUCUAGGCCCAAUGAAUUAUGCCCCAUUUCCCAAGUGGCAUGAGCACCAAGGCUGCAAAUGUGAUGGUAGCUCCACCACUCCAUUAAGCCCUGCUGCUGCUCGGCCAGGAUUUAGAUUGCAGCGUAAGCCUAUAAUUUCAGCAUGCAGGAGCAUGUGAGUCUGAGGAACAUGUGAUUAUUGCAGCCUACUAAGAAAAAUGAUACUAAAUCAAAUGUGACAAGUGCGUUUGUAGACUGAAGACACAGCUUCUGCUAAUGUUUGCCCUGUUGAAAUUAAUGCUGUGUGCACUGACUAAGUGCUUGAGAAUCAAAACUGAUACCUUAGGCUAACUGUUCAUAUCAUGGCUUUUAGAAUAGAUCUCACAUGAAAAAUACUACUCACCAAUAACAUUAUUUAAAAAUAACCAUUUGAAGCAGAUGUAGAAAAUUUGGAGACUCUGUCAUGUCUAAAGAUAAUAUUUUUGCAAAAUAUAUUCCUAUCUAGGCAAUUUGUCAGUUGUUUCAUAGAAGGUUCUCACUGCAGAGAAAAUGUGUCAGGAUUUCAGUGUUGUGAUUUAUGAUUCUGUCAUAAUGGCAGAUGUUCCCUCAUGUAUCUUUGAUAUUACAAAGCUGGAGCCAUUGUGUUCUUCUCAUAUUGACUAAUAAAAAGAAAGCCAAGAUAACAUCUCAGACAUGUUUAGGUUGCUGAUUUUCCCACUUUGAUACCUUUUUGGUAAGAGCUUAUAGAAUUGAAUUAGAACUGAAUCUUGCAAUGAGUGAUUUUCAUCCUCAAAAUUCACAUGAAAUAAAUCUGCUACAAUUGAUUGUCCAUUUUCUUAAAAACAAAAACUUAAUUUUGUGUAUUGUCUUAUACUGUAUAGGUGUAGUGUCCUGCGUCUACACCUUUUCGCUUCCCUAUUAUUAUUAUUAUUAUUAUUGUUGUUGUUGCUGCUGCUGCAGCAGCAGUUUCAUAAAAUUGACUUUUAAAAUCUGCAAAUGAUUAUUAAUUUAUUAUUACAAAUGCAUUGCGCUGAAUCCUGCUUAAAUAAUUUUUACUUGAAUAAAACUCAUAUAAUUAA